rnacentral:miRNA from 1 species
AGUUGGUGGGGGAGACAGCCAUGAGAUAAGAGCGCCUCCUAGAGAAUGUUGAACUAAAGUUUCCCUCUCUGGCUCCUCCCUAAAG